rnacentral:rRNA from 1 species
CAGCAGCCGCGGUAAAACGGAGGAUCCAAGCGUUAUCCGGAAUCAUUGGGUUUAAAGGGUCCGUAGGCGGUCUUGUAAGUCAGUGGUGAAAGCCCAUCGCUCAACGGUGGAACGGCCAUUGAUACUGCAGGACUUGAAUUAUUGGGAAGUAACUAGAAUAUGUAGUGUAGCGGUGAAAUGCUUAGAGAUUACAUGGAAUACCAAUUGCGAAGGCAAGUUACUACCAAUUGAUUGACGCUGAUGGACGAAAGCGUGGGUAGCGAACAGGAUUAGAUACCCGCGUAGUCCCUGUCUCUUAUAC